AGUGAACGCUGGCGGUAGGCCUAACACAUGCAAGUUGAACGGCAGCACAGUAAGAGCUUGCUCUUACGGGUGGCGAGUGGCGGACGGGUGAGGAAUACAUCGGAAUCUACUUUUUCGUGGGGGAUAACGUAGGGAAACUUACGCUAAUACCGCAUACGACCUACGGGUGAAAGCAGGGGAUCUUCGGACCUUGCGCGAUUGAAUGAGCCGAUGUCGGAUUAGCUAGUUGGCGGGGUAAAGGCCCACCAAGGCGACGAUCCGUAGCUGGUCUGAGAGGGUGAUCAGCCACACUGGAACUGAGACACGGUCCAGACUCCUACGGGAGGCAGCAGUGGGGAAUAUUGGACAAUGGGCGCAAGCCUGAUCCAGCCAUACCGCGUGGGUGAAGAAGGCCUUCGGGUUGUAAAGCCCUUUUGUUGGGAAAGAAAAGCAGCAGGUUAAUACCCCGCUGUUCUGACGGUACCCAAAGAAUAAGCACCGGCUAACUUCGUG
rnacentral:rRNA from 1 species